rnacentral:rRNA from 1 species
AGAGUUGAUCAUGGCUCAGGAUGAACGCUGGCGGCGUGCUUAACACAUGCAAGUCGAACGAAGCAAUUACGACAGAAUCCUUCGGGAGGAAGAUGUAAUUGACUGAGUGGCGGACGGGUGAGUAACGCGUGGGUAACCUGCCCUAUACAGGGGGAUAACAGUUAGAAAUGACUGCUAAUACCGCAUAACCCGCUAGUAUCGCAUGAUACAGACGGAAAAGAUUUAUUGGUAUAGGAUGGGCCCGCGUCUGAUUAGCUAGUUGGUAAGGUAACGGCUUACCAAGGCGACGAUCAGUAGCCGGCUUGAGAGAGUGAACGGCCACAUUGGGACUGAGACACGGCCCAAACUCCUACGGGAGGCAGCAGUGGGGAAUAUUGCACAAUGGGGGAAACCCUGAUGCAGCGACGCCGCGUGAGUGAAGAAGUAUUUCGGUAUGUAAAGCUCUAUCAGCAGGGAAGAAAAUGACGGUACCUGACUAAGAAGCCCCGGCUAACUACGUGCCAGCAGCCGCGGUAAUACGUAGGGGGCAAGCGUUAUCCGGAUUUACUGGGUGUAAAGGGUGCGUAGGUGGCAUGGUAAGUCAGAUGUGAAAACCCGGGGCUCAACCCCGAGGACUGCAUUUGAAACUAUCAAGCUAGAGUGCAGGAGAGGUAAGUGGAAUUCCUAGUGUAGCGGUGAAAUGCGUAGAUGUUAGGAGGAACACCAGUGGCGAAGGCGGCUUACUGGACUGUAACUGACACUGAGGCACGAAAGCGUGGGGAGCAAACAGGAUUAGAUACCCUGGUAGUCCACGCCGUAAACGCUCAUACUAGGUGUCGGGGUCGUMGAKACUUCGGUGCCGCAGCUAACGCAAUAAGUAWUCCCACC